AAUAAAUUCAUUUUUUAGUUUUUAGAUACAAUGUUUUGAUUCUUCGUCUUAUUUGAAAUUUUUUUUUGUGAUUAAUAUUUUUAUUGUUACUAGAUGGUAAAACAUGAAUAGUACUUUAUGCGUACUAAUUUUUUAAAUUUUUGUACAAAUUUGUUAAAUAAAACGAAUAGUCAAACGUUGAAGCACAUAAA
rnacentral:pre_miRNA from 1 species